rnacentral:rRNA from 1 species
ACGGAUAACAUACCGAAAGGUAUGCUAAUACGGGAUAAUAUAUUUGAGAGGCAUCUCUUAAAUAUCAAAGGUGAGCCAGUACAGGAUGGACCCGCGUCUGAUUAGCUAGUUGGUAAGGUAACGGCUUACCAAGGCGACGAUCAGUAGCCGACCUGAGAGGGUGAUCGGCCACAUUGGAACUGAGACACGGUCCAAACUCCUACGGGAGGCAGCAGUGGGGAAUAUUGCACAAUGGGCGAAAGCCUGAUGCAGCAACGCCGCGUGAGUGAUGAAGGCCUUCGGGUCGUAAAACUCUGUCCUCAAGGAAGAUAAUGACGGUACUUGAGGAGGAAGCCCCGGCUAACUACGUGCCAGCAGCCGCGGUAAUACGUAGGGGGCUAGCGUUAUCCGGAUUUACUGGGCGUAAAGGGUGCGUAGGCGGUCUUUCAAGUCAGGAGUGAAAGGCUACGGCUCAACCGUAGUAAGCUCUUGAAACUGGGAGACUUGAGUGCAGGAGAGGAGAGUGGAAUUCCUAGUGUAGCGGUGGAAUGCGUAGAUAUUAGGAGGAACACCAGUUGCGAAGGCGGCUCUCUGGACUGUAACUGACGCUGAGGCACGAAAGCGUGGGGAGCAAACAGGAUUAGAUACCCUGGUAGUCCACGCUGUAAACGAUGAGUACUAGGUGUCGGGGGUUACCCCCUUCGGUGCCGCAG